rnacentral:rRNA from 1 species
GACGAACCGUGCGAACGUUGUUCGGAAUCACUGGGCUUAAAGGGCGCGUAGGCGGGCUCAAAAGUCAGGGGUGAAAUCCCACGGCUCAACCGUGGAAGUGCCUUUGAUACUGUGAGUCUCGAGGGAGGUAGGGGCGUGCGGAACUUCCGGUGGAGCGGUGAAAUGCGUAGAGAUCAGGAAGAACAUCGGUGGCGAAGGCGCUCUGCUGGACCAUAACUGACACUCAGGGACGAAAGCUAGGGGAGCGAAUGGG